GAUUCUUUCAGUGUAGUAAGAGUAAAAGGAAAAGAAUAAGUUCAGAGAUUUUUGAAGAGUGAAAAUGAUUUUGGAGCAGCCAUGAGGAGGGAAAUAUACCUAAGAGUAAUAUGGCAGCAUUCUUUUUUAUAUAAGGACCCCUUUACAUAUAACACCAUGUCAGUGAUGGUUGUGUACAUGAACAUCUCAAAUCCUCUAUAGAUUAGAGAAUAUGAAUAUGAUUAAUGUGUUAGUCUACACCAGAAGGUGAUGUCAAUUCAGGAUUAACGAUGCAACAGAUUUAUUUUGGGCUGGGGGAGGUCGUUGGGGGUAAUGCCUGUGUAUUAGUCUGUUUUCACACUGUUCAUAAAGACAUACCUGAGAGUGGGUAAUUUAUAAAGAAAACGAGGUUUAAUUGACUCAUAGUUCCAUGUGGCUGGGAAGCCCUCACAAUCAUGGCAGAAGGCAAAAUGCACAUCUUACUUGGCAGCAGGCAAGAGAGAGAAUGAGAACCAAACAAAAGUGGUUUACCCUUAUAAAACCAUCAUAUCUUGUGAGACUUAUUUACUACCACAAGGACAGGAUGGGAGAAAUCACCCCCAUGAUUCAGUUAUCUCCCACUUUCUCUCUUUUUGUAUUUCAUCUUGGGAAGUUUCUAUUUACAUAUCUUCAAGCUCACUGAACCUUUCUGUGGCUACCUGAUGAGCUCAUUUAAGGAAUUCUUCAUUUCUCUUACAGUGUUUUGGGAUUCUAAAUCUUCCUUGUGACUCUUUCUUAGAAUUACCAUCUUUCUGCUUAUCUGACCCAUAUGUUCUAGCAUGUUGUCUAAUUUACCUACUAGAACUUUAAGAUAUCAAUCAUACUCACUUACAUUUUCCCAUCUGAUAAUUUCAUCAUUCAUGUCAGCCCUGUGUUCAGAGUCUUCAUGUAGCUUGGAGAAUGAUUUCAAGUCUCUUUCUCUGGUUGCUCCUGAGUAGGUGCAGACUAUUAUGUGCAUGUGCCUUUCAGACGCCAGAGUUGUCUGUGAUCUCAAAAAGGCUCUUGUUGGCCUUUAUUCCUGGUUCUUUCUAUUAUGGUUGCUGUGCUAUUUUGCUUCUACAAGAGUACUAGCCUCAUUUUAACUGUUCUCCACCAAGAUAACAGCCCUAGGCAUGGAUGUUAGUCCCUUUAGGUAGAUCUGCAAAGUUCCUUGUCUUUAUGGUCUGCUUUACCUGCUAGGCAGAAUUCCUGCACCACUGCACUAAAGCUCUGGACUUCCUCCCCUCUCUACUUCUAAUAACCACCCACUGCAGGGGAGGGGAAACAGGUCUGCUGUUCUCAGCUUGUUCUUACUAGUGCAGAAUCUUCUGCCUACUAGCCAGUCAGGGUUGAGGUAAAUUGGAGCCCUAAUAUCUUCAGCUAUCCAUACCGGGGUAAGGUUUUUGCCCUUGAGAGGAGGCUGUUUGGGAAGAGAGACCUUGUCUGCUGUUCCUUCCUGCAAUAGAGCUUCCAUAACACAGGGCUUGGUGAGAGUAGGAGAAACACCAGCUACCUACCCACCAUUUUUCAUAGCCCUGGACUGGGAGCAGGGGUGGUGUGAGGUGGGUAGGGUAAUAGGGAUGGGGAGAAGAAUCCCAUUCUUUUUGGUACACAUACCUGAAGUAGAGCUUCCAUCAUGUGGAACUGAUGGGGUCUGUAAUGGAGUAGUGUGUGGCUUAAAUGUCCCAGCCUUUUACUUUUCUUACCCAAGAUUUAAUAAAUUAUCUUGAAGGAAUGAUGUCUCUUUUGCUGUACGUCCUUAUUACAAUUCCAGAGAUGGGAAUGAUUUUUUUAAAAUAAUUUUCAUUAGCUAAAUGUUGUUCUGCUGGGGAGAGGGCCUACUGAGCUCCUUAAGUCAUCAUUCUAAAAGUCCUUUCCCACACAUUUUUAACAGGUGCAGGAGUUUGGUAUGGUAAAUUGGAAGGUGGAGGAACCACAGUAAAUAAUUAGUCUUCACCAUUUGCCAGGAGCCAGAGAAAAAUGCUUUUCAACUUCUUUCCCAGAUAGAUGGUCUGGAGACAUUUUUAUGGUGUGCAGUCAAGUAACCAGUCAUACACAGAGGCAGCCAACUUCUGCAAGUGCUCUGUUUCUUUCCUUGCUUUUCUUCUUUACUUCCUGAUCAAGCACUUACUCUUAAGCCUAUGCCUUAGGUUCUGCUUUCUGGGGAACUCAAACCCAAUUCCAUGCCUUUAAUUAUACUCCUCACUUUAUAAAUAAAUAAGCUUAUUCUGCAGUUCUACAGUUUGUCAAAAACAUAUUUAAAACUUUUUGGGGGGGUGUGGGGACAGAGUCUCAUUAAGUUGCCUAGACUGGAGUGCAGUGGCAUAAUCUUGGUUCACUUCAACCUCUGUCCUCUGGGCUCAAUUAAUCUUCUGCCUCAGUCUCCCGAGUAGCUGGGACUACAGGUGCACAGCACCAGGCCUGGCUAAUAUUCCGUAGUUUUUUGUAGAAAUGGGGUUUUACCAUGUUGCCCAGGCUAACAUUUUAAUCAAACACAUAUGAAAAAAUAUGCUGCAAUUAACAAUACAGUUGUUUCUUGAACAACACAGGUUUUGUGGGCAUUUUUUGUUUGUUUGUUUGUUUUUUUGGUGCUAUUAAUUGUAUUUAUUCCUACAAUCAUUGUACCCAGUCAACUGUGCCAAGCAAUUGCAUUUUUUAAAACUUCAAAACAAUGUCAACAUUCUUCUCUUUCUCAUCAGUGUCAACAUGUUUCCUAUGUUGACACAUAUGCAAUGGGUGCACAUUUCUUUUUAAACAAAAUUCCCAUGAGUCCAGCAAAUAAAUACAUUCGUAUUUUAAAAAUACAUCGGGUGGGAAAGUACUAAUAAAAUAAUCAUGAAUUGCUGGUUUUUGAAAUGUUUAUUUUCUCAGAAAUAUGGGCCACUCACUUUUACUUUCAUCCCAUUUUAACUAGUUCUUAAAGACUGCUUAUUAUGAAAGUUGAUGUGAAGUAAGCUGAGAGUUUUAUAUCCAGUUUUUCAAGUUUAGAAAAUCUAGUAUAAAGAGGACCUGGUAGCUUGAAUGACACAAGUUUGAACUGUGUGAGUGCACUUAUGUGAGAAUGUUCUUCUGCCUCUUGCAUCUCCUUGUCUUCAAGUCGAGUAGGCUGAGGAGGAGGAAGAGCAAGACCAACUCCUCUUCUUCCUCCCCUUCCUCUACUCAACUAGAAGAUGAUGAGGAGAAAGACCUUUAUAAUGAUCCACUUCCACUUAAUGAAUAGUAAAUAUAUUUUUUCUCCCUUAUGACUUUCUUUUUUCUUUUUAAUUAUGCUUUAAGUUCUGGGGUACAUGUGCAGAUCAUGCAGGUUUGUUACAUAGUUAUACACAUGUCAUGGUGGUUUGCUGUAUCCAUCCUCCCAUCAUCUACAUUAGGUAUUUCAUCUAAUAUUAUCCCUCCUCAAUCCUCCCAUCCCUUGCUAUCCCUCCGCUAGCCCUCUUACCCCCAACGGGCCCAAGUGUGUGAUGUUCCCCUCCCUGUGUCCAUGUGUUCUCAUUAUUUAGCAGCCACUUAUGGGUGAGAACAUGUGGUGUUUGGUUUUCUGUUCUUGUUUCAGUUUGCUGAGAAUGAUGUUUACAUUUUCUUUCUCCUAGCUUACUUUAUUGUAAGAAUACAGUAUAUACUCAUAUAACAUAAAAUAUGUAUUAAUUGACUAUUUAUAUUAUCAGUAAGGCUUCUAGCCAACAGUUAGGCUAUUAGUAGGUAGUUUUGGGGGAGUCAAAAUUUAUACAUGGCUUUUUGACUGUAUGCCAUCAGCACCCCUAACCCCUGUGUUGUUCAAGGGCCAGAUGUAUUUCAACUUUCCCAACUCUUUCUGAUUACAAUGGGUUAAACAAGGUACUUCUAAGUGAAAAGAAUAAUAAAUAUAAUUCCUAGGCUGGUGCUGCGGCUCAUACCUGCAACCCCAGCACUUUGGGAGGCCGAGGCAAGCAAUUGCUUGACUUUAGGAGUUUGAGAGCAAUCUGGGCAACAUAGCAAAACCCCAUCUCUACAAAAAUAACAAAAUGUGACUGGGCAUGGUGGCACACACCUGUAAUCCCAGCUACUGGGGAAGCUGAGGCAGGAGAAUCAUCUGAGCCUGGGAGUUUGAAGCUGCAGUGAGCUGCGAUCGUGCCACUGCACUCCAAUCUGGGUGAUGAGUGAGACCCUGUCUCAAAAAACCAAAAAACAAAAGACAAACAACAAAAACACCCCACAAACAAACAAAACCCCCAAACUCCAAAAACAUAAUUAUUAUCAUUUGUGAAGUUUUGGUAAGUUUCUUUUGAAUUAAAUGAGUAAUAACUAGGCAUAAUCAUUGGCAAGCAAAACUUCUGAUUGAUUGAUUGAUUUCUUUUUUUUUUUUUUUUUUGAUAGUCUCACUCUGUCACCCAUGCUGGACAAAGUAGCACAAUCUUGGCUCACUUCAACCUCUGCCUCCGGGGUUCAGGCAAUUGUCCUGCCUCAGCCUCCUAGGUAGCGGGAUUACAGGCAUGCACCACCAAGCCUGGCUAAUUAUUGUAUGUGUGUGUAUAUAUAUAUAUAUAUAUAUAUAUUUUUUUUUUUUUUUUUUAGUAGAGAUGGGGUUUGACUAUUUUGACCAGGUUGAUCUUGAACUCCUGACUUUAAGCGAUCCAUCCACCUUGGCCUCCCAAAGGGCUGGGAUUACAGGCGUGAGUCUGGCCUGGUUAUGAUUGUGUUCUAAUUCUUAGUGUUACAAGGGCCUAAUCAAAACAAUAAUUUUGAAUAGUGAGACAUGAUAUGAUUUUUAGCAUGUAACUCUGAGGGAGUUUAGAGAAUUAAGUAAUAUAAUAUUAGGUCCUAUGCCAGACCUUGAAUCAGAAUCUGUAUUUUAAAAAGAUCUCUAGGUGAUUUUUAU
rnacentral:lncRNA from 1 species